UACCAGCACCCCGAGUGGUCGGGACGUUUAUUGGGCCUAAAGCAUCCAUAGCCGGUUCUACGAGUCUUCCGUUAAAUCCAACUGCUUAACAGGUGGGCUGCGGAAGAUACUAUAGGGCUAGGAGGCGGGAGAGGCAAGCGGUACUCAGUGGGUAGGGGUAAAAUCCUCUGAUCCAUUGAAGACCACCAGUGGCGAAGGCGGCUUGCCAGAACGCGCUCGACGGUGAGGGAUGAAAGCUGGGGGAGCAAACCGG
rnacentral:rRNA from 1 species